GACGAACGCUGGCGGCGUGCUUAACACAUGCAAGUCGAACGGAAAGGCCCUGCUUUUGUGGGGUGCUCGAGUGGCGAACGGGUGAGUAACACGUGAGUAACCUGCCCUUGACUUUGGGAUAACUUCAGGAAACUGGGGCUAAUACCGGAUAGGAGCUCCUGCUGCAUGGUGGGGGUUGGAAAGUUUCGGCGGUUGGGGAUGGACUCGCGGCUUAUCAGCUUGUUGGUGGGGUAGUGGCUUACCAAGGCUUUGACGGGUAGCCGGCCUGAGAGGGUGACCGGCCAAAUGGGGACGGGGAAACGGCCCGACAUCCUAGGGGGGGGAGGGGUGGGGAAUUUUGCCAAAUGGGGGGAAGCCGGAUGCAGCAACCCCGCGUGCGGGAUGACGGCCUUCGGGUGGUAAACCGCUUUCGCCUGUGCCGAAGGGGGAGUGACGGUAAGGGGAAAAGAAGCACCGGCUAACUACGU
rnacentral:rRNA from 1 species